rnacentral:rRNA from 1 species
UAAGGAAUAUUGGUCAAUGGACGCAAGUCUGAACCAGCCAUGCCGCGUGAAGGAUGAAGGUCCUCUGGAUUGUAAACUUCUUUUAUCUGGGACGAAAACGGGAUUUUUAUCUCAAUUGACGGUACCAGAGGAAUAAGCACCGGCUAACUCCGUGCCAGCAGCCGCGGUAAUACGGAGGGUGCAAGCGUUAUCCGGAUUUAUUGGGUUUAAAGGGUCCGUAGGCGGACUUAUAAGUCAGUGGUGAAAGCCUGUCGCUUAACGAUAGAACUGCCAGUGAUACUGUAAGUCUUGAGUAUAUUUGAGGUAGCUGGAAUAAGUAGUGUAGCGGUGAAAUGCAUAGAUAUUACUUAGAACACCAAUUGCGAAGGCAGGUUACCAAGAUAUAACUGACGCUGAGGGACGAAAGCGUGGGGAGCGGACA